rnacentral:rRNA from 1 species
AACGUAGGACGCAAGCGUUAUCCGGAAUUACUGGGCGUAAAGCGCGUGUAGGUGGUUUUAUAAGUCACUGUUGAAAGCUCCCGGCUAAACUGGGAGAGGUGCGGUGAGACUGUAGAGCUAGAGUUUGGGAGAGGGGUGCGGAAUUCCGGGUGUAGUGGUGAAAUGCGUAGAUAUCGGGAGGAACACCAGUGGCGAAGGCGGCUUCCUGGCCUGUUCUUGACGCUGAGGCGGCGAAAAGCUAGGGGAGCAAACGGGG